rnacentral:rRNA from 1 species
UGGGCGUAAGCGCGCGCAGGUGGUUUCUUAAGUCUGAUGUGAAAGCCCACGGCCCUAAAGGGGAGGGUCAUUGGAAACUGGGAGACUUGAGUGCCCUUAAAGGGAGUGGAAUUCCAUGUGUAGCGGUGAAAUGCGUAGAGAUAUGGAGGAACACCAGUGGCGAAGGCGACUUCCUGGAGGGUAACUGACACUGAGGCGCGAAAGCGUGGGGAGCAAACAGGAUUAGAUACCCUGGUAGUCCACGCCGUAAACGAUGAGUGCUAAGUGUUAGAGGGUUUCCGCCCUUUAGUGCUGAAGUUAACGCAUUAAGCACUCCGCCUGGGGUGUUCGGCCGCAAGGCUGAAACUCAAAGGAAUUGACGGGGGCCCGCACCAGCGGUGGAGCAUGUGGUUU